GGUUAUGUCCUCGCAGAUCCUGCUGCAUGACAGAGAAUUAUUCUGAGCAUUUCAUCACUGGGGUGUGUGCUCCUGUCCUCAGGAAACACAGAAAGUGUCGCUCUCGUAAAACCCCAGAGGACUGAGAAGGCUCGGCUCCUCCUCAGGUUUUUGUCUUAGACUUGGGAUGCCUUUCCCUGUGGACUGUUGCUGGCCCCAAACAAAGGCGUCUCCCAGGCUCAGGCAUCAAGUGUUUUAGCAUCCUACAAGGGCUGCAAAGGCAUUCAAACACUGACUUUGCUGAAAGAUGGAAUUUUUCAGUGUUCACAUUUCUGUACCACUCAAUGCAGCAGGUUAGACCAGAAUGACCGCAGAGAUGACUCUUCCUUGCGGACAAAGGGAGAUGCAGAGCCGCUCAGAGCUGAGGCUGGGGAAGAGCCUCUCCAGCUGGAAUCCAAAAGCUCAAGUUGGCCCAGCUGCAACAUUUCACUGUGGCAUUGCCUGACUUCUUUCUUUCCCUCUCUAAACCAGAAGAGGGACAUCAUAAAAAUAAAAGACUCAGCUAUUGCUUAGUGGAAUUCGUCAAUCUGUAAUAUAUUAUUAAUUUUAAAGAAGGAGUGGUA